UUCGGAGUGAGCGGCGGACGGGUUAGUAACGCGUGGGAACGUACCCAGAUCUGCGGAAUAGCCACUGGAAACGGUGAGUAAUACCGCAUACGCCCUUUGGGGGAAAGAUUUAUCGGAUUUGGAUCGGCCCGCGUUAGAUUAGGUAGUUGGUGGGGUAACGGCCUACCAAGCCUACGAUCUAUAGCUGGUUUUAGAGGAUGAUCAGCAACACUGGGACUGAGACACGGCCCAGACUCCUACGGGAGGCAGCAGUGGGGAAUCUUGGACAAUGGGCGCAAGCCUGAUCCAGCCAUGCCGCGUGAGUGAUGAAGGCCUUAGGGUCGUAAAGCUCUUUCGCCUGUGAAGAUAAUGACGGUAGCAGGUAAAGAAACCCCGGCUAACUCCGUGCCAGCAGCCGCGGUAAUACGGAGGGGGUUAGCGUUGUUCGGAAUUACUGGGCGUAAAGCGCGCGUAGGCGGACUAUUAAGUCAGGGGUGAAAUCCCGGGGCUCAACCCCGGAACUGCCUUUGAUACUGGUAGUCUAGAGUUCGAGAGAGGUGAGUGGAAUUCCGAGUGUAGAGGUGAAAUUCGUAGAUAUUCGGAGGAACACCAGUGGCGAAGGCGGCUCACUGGCUCGAUACUGACGCUGAGGUGCGAAAGC
rnacentral:rRNA from 1 species